rnacentral:misc_RNA from 1 species
AGAAUGUGUCAUAUAAAAGUAAUUAACUAAAAAGAUCCAAGUUCUCUCUAUCACAAUUAACUCAAAAACAUUGCCUUCCCUCUUCAGCUGUAAUCUAUGGAAAAUUCUACACAUACAUGUUGCAUUAUUAAGCUAUCAGAAACAACAUUAGAUAAGCUUUUUCUUUUCAAAGAAGGUCUUCAAAUGCCACAACUGCAAUCCUGCCACACCUAAACACAAGAAGAUUGACAAGCCAGUCAUCCAAGCCAUUUUGGAGUUGGUAGAUCUGUUCAGUUCCUGCAUUUCAGCUUCCCUUUCACGGAGGAAAAACAUCUCAUCAUGGAUGGCUUUAACAUUUUCAAGUAUCUUCUUUAGUUCAAAUUCCAUUAUUUCAACAGAGCCUUUCUUGGCAACACUCGUCCAAUCCUUAGCAGCUACACCA